GUUUGAUCUUGUGAUUUAUUAAUGGCUAUAGCAUAUGCAAUUUUAAUGGGAAACUGUUUCCGAGUUCCACGUGGUAGGUAAGACACUGAGAUGAAUGUGUGCAUCUGAUGACUUCAAUGUCACCGAAAGAAAAGACAUGGAUGCCAUGCACAGCGGUCAUACCUAAGACGACACCAGCCAGAAGUGAGAAGAUAGCAUCAUCUAGCUACAUUGGACGAUCACCACAAAACAAAACACGAUCUCUCCCAUAUGGACUCAUACUCUAUAUUAAUCUGUAUUGCAUCAAAUUGAAGUCUGAUUUAUUCACGAAAAUA
rnacentral:lncRNA from 1 species